GACGAACGCUGGCGGCGUGCUUAACACAUGCAAGUCGAACGGAAAGGCACUGCUUUUGUGGGGUGCUCGAUUGGCGAACGGGUGAGUAACACGUGAGUAACCUGCCCUUGACUUUGGGAUAACUUCAGGAAACUGGGGCUACUCCCGGAUAGGAGCUCCUGCUGCAUGGUGGGGGUUGGAACGUUUCGGCGGGUGGGGAUGGAUUCGCGGCUUAUCAGCUUGUUGGUUGGGUAGUGGCUUACCAAGGCUUUGGCGGGUCGGCGGCCUGAGAGGGUGACCGGCGACAAGGCGACUGCGAGACGGCCCAGAGGGGUACGGUGGGCAGCAGUGGGGAGUAUUGCACAAUGGGCGGAAGUCUGAUGAAGCAACGCCGCGGUUGGGAAGACGGCCUGUGGGGUGUAAACAGCUGUAGCCUGAGACGAAGCGGGAGUGACGGUAAUGGGUAAAGAAGCACCGGCUAACUACGUG
rnacentral:rRNA from 1 species